UACGAAGGGGGCUAGCGUUGCUCGGAAUCACUGGGCGUAAAGGGUGCGUAGGCGGGUCUUUAAGUCAGGGGUGAAAUCCUGGAGCUCGACUCCAGAACUGCCUUUGAUACUGAGGAUCUUGAGUUCGGGAGAGGUGAGUGGAACUGCGAGUGUAGAGGUGAAAUCCGUAGAUAUUCGCAAGAACACCAGUGGCGAAGGCGGCUCACUGGCCCGAUACUGACGCUGAGGCACGAAAGCGUGGGGAGCAAACAGG
rnacentral:rRNA from 1 species